rnacentral:rRNA from 3 species
AAACUUUCAACAACGGAUCUCUUGGCUCUGGCAUCGAUGAAGAACGCAGCGAAAUGCGAUAAGUAAUGUGAAUUGCAGAAUUUAGUGAAUCAUCGAAUCUUUGAACGCACAUUGCGCCCCUUGGUAUUCCGAGGGGCAUGCCUGUUCGAGCAUC